GCAAACUAGAAAUAUGAUGAGCCUACAAAAAUGUUGAUUAAAGUGAAAAACAAGAUCCAACUAUAAUUUCAUGUAAAA